CAGCAGCCGCGGUAAUACGAAGGGUGCAAGCGUUAAUCGGAAUUACUGGGCGUAAAGCGUGCGUAGGCGGUUUGUUAAGUCUGCUGUGAAAUCCCCGGGCUCAACCUGGGAAUGGCAGUGGAUACUGGCAAGCUAGAGUGUGUCAGAGGAUGGUGGAAUUCCCGGUGUAGCGGUGAAAUGCGUAGAGAUCGGGAGGAACAUCAGUGGCGAAGGCGGCCAUCUGGGACAACACUGACGCUGAGGCACGAAAGCGUGGGGAGCGAACAGGAUUAGAUACCCCAGUAGUCCCUGUCUCUUAUAC
rnacentral:rRNA from 1 species